rnacentral:miRNA from 1 species
UUCUGCAACAGGUGCCAGUUC